CGCGAAUGGCUCAUUACAACAGCUAUAAUUUACUUGAUCUUGACAAUCCUACUUGGAUAACUGUGGUAAUUCUAGAGCUAAUACAUGCAUUAAAGCUCUGACCUCACGGGAAGAGUGCACUUAUUAGAACAAAACCAAGCGGCUUCGGCUGUUUCUGGUUGACUCAUAGUAACUGAGCUGAUCGCACGGUCUUGCACCGGCGACGUGUCUUUCAAGUAUCUGCCGUAUCAACUUUCGAUGGUAGUGUAUCUGACUACCAUGGUGAUCACGCGUAACGGAGAAUAAGGGUUCGGCUCCGGAGAGUUCGCCUGAGAAAUCGCGAACACAUCUAAGGAAGGCAGCAGGCGCGAAAAUUACCCACUCUCAGCACGAGGAGGUAGUGACGAAAAAUAACGAGACCGUUCUCUUAUGAGGCCGGUCAUCGGAAUGGGUACAAUUUAAACCCUCUAACGAGUAUCUAUGAGAGGGCAAGUCUGGUGCCAGCAGCCGCGGUAAUUCCAGCU
rnacentral:rRNA from 1 species